rnacentral:rRNA from 1 species
AUUGAACGCUGGCGGCAUGCUUUACACAUGCAAGUCGGACGAGUGGCGGACGGGUGAGUAACGCAUCGGGACGUACCGGGUAAUGGGGGAUAACUGUCCGAAAGGAGAGCUAAUACCGCAUACUAUUCGAGCGGCCGAUGUCUGAUUAGCUGGUGGGCGGGGUAAAGGCCCACCAAGGCGACGAUCAGUAGCGGGUCUGAGAGGAUGAUCCGCCACACUGGGACUGAGACACGGCCCAGACUCCUACGGGAGGCAGCAGUGGGGAAUAUUGCACAAUGGGCGCAAGCCUGAUGCAGCCAUGCCGCGUGUGUGAAGAAGGCCUUCGGGUUGUAAAGCACUUUCAGCGGGGAGGCGUUACCCGCAGAAGAAGCACCGGCUAACUCCGUGCCAGCAGCCGCGGUAAUAC